rnacentral:rRNA from 1 species
UACGAGAGGCCCAAACGUUAUUCGGAUUUACUGGGCUUAAAGAGUUCGUAGGCCGCGCGGAAAGUAGGGUGUGAAAGCCCUCGGCUCAACCGAGGAAUUGCGCCCUAAACUACCGUGCUCGAGGGAGAUAGAGGUGAGCGGAACUUAGGGUGGAGCGGUGAAAUGCGUUGAUAUCCUAAGGAACACCGGUGGCGAAAGCGGCUCACUGGAUCUCUUCUGACGCUGAGGCACGAAAGCUAGGGUAGCGAACGG